rnacentral:rRNA from 1 species
UACGUAGGUGGCAAGCGUUGUCCGGAAUUAUUGGGCGUAAAGCGCGCGCAGGUGGUUUCUUAAGUCUGAUGUGAAAGCCCGGGGCUCACCCCCGGAAGUGCAUUGGAAACUAGCGGGCUGGAGUCCCGGAGAGGAGGGUGGAAUUCCUGGUGUAGCGGUGAAAUGCGUAGAUAUCAGGAGGAACACCGGUGGCGAAGGCGGCCCUCUGGACGGUGACUGACGCUGAGACGCGAAAGCGUGGGGAGCAAACAGG